rnacentral:rRNA from 1 species
UGGGGGGGAACUACCAGGGGGAACCGUCGGACAGUUCUUGAGGUUUUAGCCCUCUCAAAAGCCAAUAACCCCAAGCUAGUCUUUCUGUGUGAGACUAGGCAGGAGGAUACUAAGGUUGAGAAAAUGAAGUGGAGACUAGGCCUAAAAGGCUUCCAUGGUGUCAGUAGCGAUGGAAGAAGUGCAGGACUUGUGUUGUUCUGGGAUGAGAAUCUCACUGUUACAGUUCUUGAAUCGUGUAGCAGGUUUAUUGAUGUUCGGAUUCUCGAAGGAGGAUCUGGUAUAUCAUGGAGGGGUACAUUUGUUUAUGGGGAACCGAGAGUGGAAAAUCGUCAUCUGAUGUGGGAUCAUCUAUGUCGCUUGCGGGCCGUGUCACACGAACCAUGGGUCAUGUGCGGCGACUUCAAUGAAGCACUCUGGCAGCACGAGCACUUUUCAAGAUCAGCUAGAGCGGAGACAUAG